rnacentral:rRNA from 1 species
UACGGGGGGGGCAAGCGUUGUUCGGAAUUACUGGGCGUAAAGGGCUCGUAGGCGGCCAACUAAGUCAGACGUGAAAUCCCUCGGCUUAACCGGGGAACUGCGUCUGAUACUGGAUGGCUUGAAUCCGGGAGAGGGAUGCGGAAUUCCAGGUGUAGCGGUGAAAUGCGUAGAUAUCGUAAGGAAGACCAGUGGCGAAGGCGGGUCUCUGGACAGUUCCUGACGCUGAGGCACGAAGGUCAGGGGAGCAGACGGG